rnacentral:tRNA from 1 species
AGGAUUUUAAGUUAAGUAAACUAUAAGUUUUCAAGACUUAAAAUGAAUUAUAUAAUUUAAAUUCUG